rnacentral:rRNA from 1 species
AGUAACACGUGAGCAAUCUGCCCUUCACUUUGGGAUAACCCCCGGAAACGGGAGCUAAUACCGAAUAUGACCACUUCACGCAUGUGAUGGUGGUGGAAAGUUCUGGCGGUGGAGGAUGAGCUCGCGGCCUAUCAGCUUGUUGGUGGGGUAAUGGCCCACCAAGGCUUCGACGGGUAGCCGGCCUGAGAGGGUGACCGGCCACACUGGGACUGAGACACGGCCCAG